rnacentral:misc_RNA from 1 species
GGACUACAGGGGUUUCUAAUCCUGUUCGCUCCCCACGCUUUCGCGCCUUAGCGUCAGUACCGUCCCAGCGAGCUGCCUUCGCUAUUGGUGUUCCUCCUGAUAUCUGCGCAUUCCACCGCUACACCAGGAAUUCCACUCGCCUCUUCCGGACUCUAGCCCUGCAGUAUCCAUCGGCUUUCAAAGGUUGAGCCUUUGACUUUCACAACGGACUUACAGGGCCGCCUACGCGCGCUUUACGCCCAAUGAUUCCGGACAACGCUUGCUCCCUACGUAUUACCGCGGCGGCUGGCACG